GGGGUACUGGAGUGGUUGUAUAUACAGGUCAGUACCUUAUUCAAUGUCCAGGGUACUGGAGUGGUUGUAUAUACAGGUCAGUUCCUUAUUCAAUGUCCUGGAGGGGUGGAGGUGGGUUUAUACAUAAAAAGUGAUUGGUGGGGGGCCUCCCGGGUGGCACAGUGGUUAAGGGCGUAAAAUAAAAUACAUUUUAAAAAGUGAUUGGACGUAGGAUGCACAUAAACAUGGCUGAAAGGUGACUGGUUGGUAGCAGGAAUAUAUACAUAUUUAUGAUAAUAUAUUAACGGGAACAUAGUGAUAUUUAUUAUAAUCUGCAACAUUUCAACUUCUAAAAUACAUAGAGUCCUUGUAAUUUACAGCAUCGCUCAGUCAACAAAACAUUUGCUAAAGUUGCCCAAUUAGCGGGAGGGCUGGGGGAAAGAUCUGUGUCGCACACAGUGCUCAAGUCUAUGACGUCUGUCAGUCAAAACCCCGGCACAGGGUAUGUUACUGUAUAGCAUGUUACUGUAUAGCAUGUUACUGUAUAGCAUGUUACUGUAUAGCAUGUUACUGUAUAGCAAAGUUGGGUCGAAGCUCUGAAGACGACAGCAUUACGGUACGGCGCCAUCUUAUGGAAAACAUGGACACUGUUACAGGAGAAUAGAUUGGAUCGCAGCGGCUUUCCGCCGUGGGAAAACCAGAUGAUCUGAGAUGCAAAAUCCCAUCUAAAGUCAAGAAUCCAGUGGCUUGAUUUAUUAAAACUAAAAGUUUUUAUUUGUAAAAUUCAAAAUAAUACAUUCAGAUAAUAACAAAGGUUCCAAUAUUCAAAACAUGUGUGCCUUCACAGUAUCUCAAGCAUUUGCCCUAACCAGCAAGCCUUACUUCCUGUCUCUAAAUUCCCAAUUUACAUAUCUGGGCGGGCCCGCCAGUAUUUCUAACUGUUUCUGGCUAGAGGGCGUAAUUGACCGUUUCGCAUUUAAAUCAAAAGACCACAUAACCAAAUUAAUGUAUACACCUUAUAUAGAAUCGAAAUGAUUCUAAAUGGUGCAAUAUGACCUAAUAAACAGAUAUUUGCAUAACCAAAGAAAGAUAGAAACUGGCUCCAACAGGGGAAGAAAGAGAAGAUGGGAAUGUGCCCUGUUUCUUUGUUUGUUGUAAUUUACAACUUCAUAUAAAGCUUGGAAAUGAAAGCUUGAGAGUUAAACUGAACUGCUUCAGCAAAGACUCAUGGGAAAGGAGAAAGGAGGAGUGUGUUGGUCUGGAAAUAACAGCUGAUUAGAAAGGUUGAGAAUGAGAUUCAAAUGCAGGUUGUGUCAGUGGCCCUGCGCUACCAAAGGUUUUAAACUGGAUAUGAUCUACUAUGAAACUGAACUGCUAUAGCAAAGGAAUCCAAGCUGGACAAUUACCUAACAGCUAGUCUCUCGUGUCAUGACAGACUUCUAGGUUCCGAGACGACAGCCUUCUAGGUUCCGAGGUGACAGACUUCUAGGUUCCGAGACGACAGACUUCUAGGUUCCGAGAUGACAGACUUCUAGGUUCCGAGACGACAGACUUCUAGGUUCCGAGAUGACAGACUUCUAGGUUCCGAGAUGACAGACUUCUAGGUUCCGAGAUGACAGACUUCUAGGUUCUGAGACGACAGACUUCUAGGUUCCGAGAUGACAGACUUCUAGGUUCCGAGACGACAGACUUCUAGGUUCCGAGGUGACAGACUUCUAGGUUCCGAGGUGACAGACUUCUAGGUUCCGAGACGACAGACUUCUAGGUUCCGAGGUGACAGACUUCUAGGUUCCGAGACGACAGCCUUCUAGGUUCCGAGGUGACAGACUUCUAGGUUCCGAGACGACAGCCUUCUAGGUUCCGAGGUGACAGACUUCUAGGUUCCGAGACGACAGCCUUCCAAGAUUAGCCUUCAGAGUCUUAAAACGACAUUGUAUUUAUAAUACUGAGUCAUCAUGUUUGUUGCUUUGCAUUGCAUUCAAAUUGAAGGCUUGAAUUCUUGAUUUGCCUCUAGAAUAAACGUGGGAGUUUUAUACCAUGCCAUGGUUUUACAGCUGCUGUCUUGCCAUUGUAAUAAUAUAGCUCGUAAAUAAUUACAAUAUCAUCAUUCAAAAAUAAUCUCUUUUUAUAUGUGGUUAUUUACAGUAAUUUAUUAGCUUCAAUAGAAACAUGGGCUUCCCACAUUAUGUUAAAGAAGAACAUAAUGCCCUGCAUCUAAAUAUACUUGUAUGUUAUAUGGGUAUCUGACAUUCAUUCAAUGGAAAAUGAAGAAAUAAUAAGAUAUUGUCAAGGAAAUGUAUAGUCUUUCAUUUGUCCUGUCUAGAUAGGAAUAUCACAAGCAAAUCAGGUAUGUCUAUGGUGCAGUGUAUGUUACGCAUGAACGUGUAUACUUUGUUAGACAAUUCUGUGCAUUAUCUGUACUGCCUACUAAUGCUAUACUGUACAUCCUGAAAAGAUAAGCUACUGAGGAUUAGCUCCUGCAUUCACCACCCAUGAGUGGUCUAGCUAUAAUGUUUGUUCCCGUAGUUCAAAAUGUUGUUUUAAAUAAAAUAUUUAUACUCUU